rnacentral:rRNA from 1 species
AGCUUGACACUGAACACUGGUCCUUGAUGUGUAGGAUAGGUGGGAGGCUUUGAAGCGUGGACGCCAGUCUGCGUGGAGCCAUCCUUGAAAUACCACCCUUUAAUGGCUGGUGUUCUAACGUGGGCCCGUUAUCCGGGUUGCGGACAGUGUCUGGUGGGUAGUUUGACUGGGGCGGUCUCCUCCUAAAGAGUAACGGAGGA